GUUCAAACAUAUCUUUAAGAAGGAAUCUCAUGAUCAAGUCAUGAAUAUGCGAGCAGCAGCAGAUACCAGUCCACUUCGAAUAGGUGGAGCAAUUUGUAUAGAGAAUAUAAAGAGGAGGUGUAGAGUCAGCGAUUACCAACUCGACACAGAAAUCCCAACAAAAGACCUCCAUAUCCUGGCCGGAUGUUUCGAUAACUACGAAGAUUUCCUUGAUAUGCUGCUUCUAAGUCCGUCUCAAUGUAAAGACAUGAAGGUAAAGGAGUAUCUAGAUAACUCUCAGUCUGCAAUGAGAGAGGCUCUAAGACUUUGGCAUACACGCAACCCUCGUGCUGCAACAUUCCGAGCACUUUUGGAAAUAACUCUGAAAUUGAGUCAUGAAUAUGCGAGAAAUAUAGAUU